GACGAAGGAUGCAAGCGUUAUCCGGAUUCAUUGGGUUUAAAGGGAGCGUAGGCGGGCUUAUAAGUCAGUGGUGAAAUCUCCUUGCUUAACAAGGAAACUGCCAUUGAUACUGUAGGUCUAGAGUACAUUUGCUGUGGGCGGAAUAUGACAUGUAGUGGUGAAAUACUUAGAUAUGUCAUAGAACACCAAUUGCGAAGGCAGCUCACAAAAAUGUAACUGACGCUGAGGCUCGAAAGUGCGGGGAUCAAACAGG
rnacentral:rRNA from 1 species